UACGAAGGGGGCUAGCGUUGCUCGGAAUCACUGGGCGUAAAGGGUGCGUAGGCGGGUCUUUUAAGUCAGGGGUGAAAUCCUGGAGCUCAACUCCAGAACUGCCUUUGAUACUGAGGAUCUUGAGUUCGGGAGAGGUGAGUGGAACUGCGAGUGUAGAGGUGAAAUUCGUAGAUAUCGGAGGAACACCAGUGGCGAAGGCGGCUCACUGGCUCGACACUGACGCUGAGGUGCGAAAGCGUGGGGAGCAAACAGG
rnacentral:rRNA from 1 species